GUCUCAGUUUCUCUGUCAGCUUGCGCCCUCCUUAACCGCUUUGUUCUUGGAGAAGGAGAGCGAGACUUUUCACGACUAUAAUUUUUCUCUCUUGCCUGUGGGGAGCUAUCCCUCUGGGAGCUCCUAUGCCGUGCCGGAGGGGGAGAGUGAGACAUCUCAUGCUUUGGAGAUUUAGUGCGAGUUGAGCGUUUCUCUCUUGCUGAAGCGCUAUCCCUAUGGGAGCUCCGGUGUCGUGCUGCUGGUGAUCUUUCUCUUCGAGAUGGGCUCUUUCUAUGAGGAGAACCCCGACCUCUAAUGGGAGAUUGUGAAUGAUUAGACAAAUUACGCCCCAUUGGCAAUCACUGACUGUUCAGUUACGAACUUACCUCGGCGAGCUAGUAGUCAAUAAAGCAUCGCAAACGAAGUAUGAAACCCUAAAGCAGUAGCUGGCUGAUGAAAAAGAGAAGCCUGUAGUUGCUGCUACUCAAAACCUUUUUCAGUUUUGAACCGACUGAAGAUGCAGAGGCGAGCGUGAGAUAGGGUUUUCUUUUCUUUGGACAGUAAG
rnacentral:misc_RNA from 1 species